CCCCUCGCCUGGCAAGGGCUGCCUCGAGUAUCCCUGGCAUGCUCUGUGAAACUAGGCAGACUGCUUGAAUCCUAGGAAUCUCCCCACCUUUACAUCUCUCUUCUCACCACCUCCAGCACCAGCCCCGUGGGCAUUAAGAAGGCCUGUCACAACUUCCUAAGGAUUACUGGGAGCAGUCUGCCACCUACUGCUUAGACAAGAUCUUGGUGUUUGCAGUUUCCCACUUAUGUACAGAGCAAUUCUGCUUAAAGCCCAUUCAGACAAGACACGAAGAGACACUCAAGGGUAUGUAUGAGACAAAAAUAGCAAUAGAAAUGUGAAGACAUGCAAAACACUUGCCUUGAAGCCACCUCCUGGAAAUCCUCACCUGUGGGAUGAGUACAUCACACAUGCACAGUUCCACUGACUCUGAUCCCUCAUACUGAGACCACUCACCUAAGGAAGGCUGGAAAAGGGAGGUCCUGCUAGAUGGUAAAGGUAGGAGCAGUGAAACAAGGAAUAAUAUGCCAAAUGACCCAGUGAUCUGGAUAUUAAGGGUGGAAUACUUUUUCAUCACCAGAAUCUAAAAUACCAGUAUCCCUGCAAGACUGAGAAAUUGGUAAAGGACUCAAUGAUUUGGUCAUAAUGAGAAAAACGAAACUAGAAACAGCAUGAAGGAAAUGAAGGUGAAACUGUAACGAUCUAAGAAAAAAUAUCUACCAACUCAAAAGAAAACAGACAUUUUCAAAGUACUGCUUCUGCUUAUUACAGGAAAUGGGAAAGAGCCGAAAAUCAUGCUGACUGAUGCUCUUUUUAUGACUCACUGCGUCCAGCAGUCUUACAUUGUAGCUGUCAUUCAAUAACAGGGGAAAAGCAAAGUAUCAGCUUCUCUAUGUCCACGGCUUGCAAUGCAGUUUAGCAUUACUGCAGAAUAUGCUACACCCUCCUUCUGCUGUUAAUGUGGACGUAAUCUGAUUAUCACUCUAAAUAGCUCAUAACACGAGAUUUAUAAGCACCUGUGCCCAUCUUUUCUGAGCCUUCUUCCAAGGAGAGGGUGUGUUGCCUAGGAAUAUUCCCCACCCUCCUUCAGACCAGCACUAGCGAUCACUGAUGUUGCACAGAGAGCUUAAAACAUUUCUCACAUAAAUGAUGAGACCUCUUGCCUGUGAACAGUAAAGGUGAGAAUAUACCUAUAGGGAAUACCACCCACCUCUGUGGGUUCAAUCACUUUAUUUUUCUUCAUGAGCUACACAAUGUUAUUUGGAGAUUCAGAGUCAAGGACUCCAGGGUAACUGAGUGUGACCUCUCAUAUCUGAGAUCUGUCUACAUCGAGGAGGAGGCACAGCUCCCAGGAUCAAGGCUUUUCCUGGCUCCAUCAGGAGUUUCAGGUUCAAAUGUCAAUUAAAUCAGAUGCAUCAUGUGCCAUCAGUGUGUGACGUGCCAGCUCUGCCAUGCAGGGACAGGGUGGCUUUGUGUGCCACACUUUGCUGAGGGAAGUUACACCAAGAUGUAAAGCUACUCAUAGGAAUAUAGCCUGAAAUACCAUCAUUGAUGACUUAUAGGCAUUCUAGCUGAAGUGAACUGAAAGUCACUAUAGUUAAUUUCCAGUCUUUCAUAGCAAAAAAGGGACAGGGGAUGGGGAGAGAGCAGCUUAAGUAGCCUAGUAAGAUGUGACUACUACAAACCACACACACACAAAGAUACACUAACUUUUGAAGUUGUUGUAAAGAGUUUCUUUGGCGAGCAGGAUUAGAUAGUGAUUGCAUAGAGAUCUGGAUAGCAUCCAAAAUGCGGAAAGCAGCAGGUGCUGGGCAUCCCAUUUU